rnacentral:rRNA from 1 species
GGCGGCUCUCUGGACUGAUACUGACGCUCAAGCGCGAAGGCUUGGGGAGCAAACAGGAUUAAAUACCCUGGUAGUCCAAGCGGUAAACUAUGGGUACUACGUGUCGGGGGUAUCGACCCCCUCGGGUGCCGCAGCUAACGCAUUAAGUACCCCGCCUGGGGAGUACGAUCGCAAGAUUGAAACUCAAAGAAAUUGACGGGGACCCGCACAAGCGGUGGAGUAUGUGGUUUAAUUCGAAGCAACGCGCAGAACCUUACCUGGGUUUGACAUACACGAGAUCGCCGGUGAGAGCCGGUUUCCUCUUCGGAGGCUCGUGCACAGGUGCUGCAUGGCUGUCGUCAGCUCGUGCCGUGAGGUGUUGGGUUAAGUCCCGCAACGAGCGCAACCCCCGUGCAUAGUUGCCAUCAGGUUAUGUUGGGCACUCUAUGGAGACUGCCGGUGAUAAGCCGGAGGAAGGCGGGGAUGACGUCAAGUCCUCAUGGCCCUUACACCCAGGGCCACACACGUACUACAAUGGCCGGUACAGAAGGUCGCAAUGCCGCAAGGUGGAGCUAAUCCCCAAAACCGGCCUCAGUUCAGAUUGGAGUCUGCAACUCGACUCCAUGAAGGCGGAAUCGCUAGUAAUCGCUGAUCAGCAGGCAGCGGUGAUACGUUCCCGGGUCUUGUACACACCGCCCGUCAAGCCACGGAAGUUGGGAGCACCC